GUAACUUUUUAAAAAAAGAGCUCAUUUUUAUAUUCUAUGUUAUUUACUUAAGUGUUUUAUAAAAAUAAAAUCCAUUACACAAGUGUCUAUAUGCCUUGCCCAAUAUCUUUGCCAAUGAUAAAUAAUAUCUAGCAUAUUUUUACUGCUUCAUUGUUUCUAAAUGCUCUCAUAUGGCUUACGUCAUUUGAUCCUAGACAGGCUGGUUUUAUUAUCCCCAUUUAUAGGAGAAUAUACUGAGGCUUAGAUGGGUCAAUGACUUGUCAAGGGUGUGUGGCUAGUAAAUGCCAUACAAAUACAUGCGAGAAUAAUGGCUAUUUCAAUUGUUUUGAAAGACUAGUUUUUGCAAAGUUGUUGGAUAAGAACCAGCAUGGAAGGGAUUCCAUUUCUCUUCAAGAGAAAUUCCAUAUCUACUCCUGAAAUACUUGGUGACCUUAGGAUUUUGUCCAUCCCGACUGAACAAGGGAACAGAGGUGGAUAGUUGGAAAGAUUAUGAAUCACUCUCUUGGCAAAAUUCCCUGUUAGUCUGAAUGUUUCAUGACCCUCCCCUCCCAAGAGACUAUUAUUUAAAAUUUAAAUAGUAUUGUUCUUGGCACCCUAAUGGCCCUCUGAGUCAGCUGGACCUCAACAGGGUAAUAGCAGAGGAAGGUUACAGGCAGGGAAGCAGCUGAGAACAAGGGAAGUAGCCUCUUUCCUGCAGCAACACAACAGCACUUUGAUGGGCUCAGCUUGGGAGGACUAGGUCAAAAGAUGAACUAUGACCAGAAGGAAGAAAACAAACAGACACACUUUGGGAGGGUCUCAGAAUAGGCACUGUACAUGCAUUCCUGAUGCGUGUGAAUAAAUGGGCGGGGUGCCAGAACUGGACACGAGACAACAAAGGACAAGCUCAUCUGACAGGGCAAUUGUCUAGCAGAAGGCUGUUAACCUGUUCCAGCCCUAAUAUGAACCAAAUCCUCAUUCUCCUGGGCUUCAGUCUCAACUCUGCCACCUAAUCAGGUGAACCAGGAAGGAAGUCAUUUUUCCCUGAAGAACGUGGACCACUGUGGUGCACAGGAGAUCACAGCGAUCAGUCACCCUCUCUGUCUUGACACCAAGAAGCAGGAGUUCCAAAAUCCAGAGGCCAUUUUGGACUGAGUUUAUAACAACUGUUUACACUUCACUGCUUUGUUAGGGUCUACAAAGCAGUUUUAUUUGCUAUGAUAGUAGUUCUGAAACUUUGCUACUCAUUAGAACCACUGCCCUAUGUGGUAGCUGUGAAAGUAUCAUUCCCAUUUUGCAGAUAGGAAAGUUGAGGCUAAGAGAAUUCGAUGAUUUGCCUAAAAUCAUGGCCCUAGCAAGUUCCAGAAAUGAGACUUGAAUUUGGAGUUCUAUUUCACCUUGUUGGCUCAUUAAUUCAUUCAUAUUAAAUGAAAUAUUCAUUUAACAAGUAUGUUUUGAGUAGCAGGUAUGUACUAGGCAUUAGAUAUACAUUAAGAGACUAAAUAUAUGUAGCCCCUGACUUCACUGAGUUUCGGUCUAAUGAUCUUUCCAUUUGAACCAGUAUUCUUUAUACUCCUUCAUAUUUCAGAAUUAAUUUCAAAUUAUGUAGGCUGGGUUAGUGCCCAGCAGGCCCAAUGCUCAGCAGAAUAGCACAAGUGGUACAUUUACUAGAGUUCAGGUGUGCAGGUCCAAACUGCAGUGGGCCACAGAGAAGGGAGAUCAGGCCUUGAAGGUGGUGUUCCUGGCUUCAAAUAGUGUCUCUGCUCCAACUGGCCAUGUGAUCACGAGGAACUUUCUAAAGUUCUCUCUCUGUUCUCAGUGUCCUCAGUGAGGGACUGAAGAUUGUAAUAGCCAAGCUCCCUGAGUAUCAUGUGUCUGGCUACUGGCUGGCACAUCUGAGGCACUCACUAAACACAGCUGUGACCAGGUCAUUACUAGAUGCUGAGUACUGUGGAGAACAACCGAUUCAUGAACCUGGUGUUUCUGAGAGGCACAGCAGCCUAGGGAUGUCCUUAGAAUUUCUUGCCCUGUUUAUUCCUCCUCCUUUAAUCUCUAUCCUCAAUCCAUUCUAUUCAUUUUCCUUAAUAAUCACAGUUUGGGUACCACUUAUUUGGAAUUUAAGGAUAGGUGGUUGAUAAAUUUUAGCUGGUGAUAGUGACUUAAUGCAGAUCUAAAAUUAAUAGAGAAACUCACAGGUGACUGGAUUUCAAGUUAGAAGUUCAACUGCUGGGAAUGCUUUUUGAAGGGCAUUUCCAUUUUUUAUUGGACUUAUAUUAAAAGAAAGUGAAACGAAAAUAUGGAACCUUGGAACUUCAAACCUUUUGAGUUUUCCUUCUUUCCAGUGCUUAGCUGAUACAAUCAACAUUGAGUUGUUUUCUUUGUCCCUUUCUGAGAUAGAAUCUAAUUCUUGCACUUAACGAAUUUGAGAAUCUUUAACAAUAUGAACAUGAUUAGCUCUAGAAUCUAUAUGUUUAGGGGCUACAUGCACCUUGUCAAAUUGCUCUUUUCCAUUCUCAGUUUCCGGAAAGGUCAUUGGAAUUCCCAUAAGUGUGGCGCUGCUGUUCUAGAUUGACAUUGUCGACCCUGAAGGAAAUGAUGUUGACGUUCACAGAGACCUGCAGAGUGACCUCUCCUCCAAAUGCCUCAAAAUAAAUGAUGGCAUGCCUGAGACUACAUUUAGUGCCAUUUGGCUACCAGGUUCUUCUAAAACCUAUAUCUUGUGGUACAAAUCUUAGUGAGCUUCUAGCCACUUCUGGACCCUACACAUAUUUUUUCAAGGCCACAAUUUGAGAAGCUUUAGUCUCUGGAUAAUUGGAAUUAUGGAAUUUUUGAGUUGGAGGUUACCCAAGAAAUCAUCUAGUACAGGAUUCUGAAACGCCUGGUGAGUAAGGAUUAACUAUUCAAUCAUGAAUGGCACUUUACAUAUAUUAACUUAUUUUGUCCUCCCCCAAUUCUCGUAACAUACAUUCUGGUAUUAUUCCCAUUUUAUGGAUGAAGAAAUGGAGAAACAGAGAAUUAAGUAACCUGUCCAAGACUCAACGUCAGGUAGUAACGCUCCACUUAACCACAUCUUUAUACUGCAUCUUGAUCAAGGUAGAAAUACAGGCCUCAAGGUGAGAUGACUUAUUCCAGAUCACAGAGCUAGUAAGAGUUCACCUCUGUCUGAGUCUGCACCUUGCUUUCAGAAAGCUAUUGAGGAGGUACUUCAUUACUACUUACCCCAUAUACAUGGGGGUGUUGGUGGUGGUGUGAGGUAAGUAGUAGUGGAGCACCUCCUUCCUCUUCUCAACUUCCCAUACCCAGAAUCUCAGCACGCUGACCUUGAGAGUGCUAUGGCUUGGGGGUUGGGGCUGGGGGACAGAGUGAAACCUAAGCCACGGGUUUUGCUCCUAAAGAUUUUCUUGUGUAACCACUUCUUAAAGUCACAAAAUGUUCUUGCAGUGAUUUCAGAGCAUACUUCUUU